rnacentral:rRNA from 1 species
GACGGAGGGUGCGAGCGUUGUUCGGAAUCACUGGGCGUAAAGGGCGCGUAGGCGGCCGUGCGUGUCGGGUGUGAAAGCCCGGAGCUCAACCCCGGAACGGCCCCCGGGACUGCAGAGCUGGAGACUGCGAGAGGUGGGUGGAAUACCGAGUGUAGAGGUGAAAUUCGUAGAUAUUGGGAAGAACACCGGUGGCGAAGGCGGCUCGCUGGCGCAUUUCUGACGCUGAGGUGCGAAAGCGUGGGGAGCAAACAGG